rnacentral:rRNA from 1 species
AGUGAACGCUGGCGGCGUGCCUAAUACAUGCAAGUCGAACGGAGUGGCGCACGGGUGAGUAAUGUAUAGCUAAUCUGCCCUACACUAGAGGACAACAGUUGGUAACGACUGCUAAUACUCUAUAGUGUAGGAUGAGGCUAUAUUGUAUCAGCUAGCUUGUGAGGUAAUGGCUCACCAAGGCUAUGACGCAUAACUGGUCUGAGAGGAUGAUCAGUCACGCGGGAACUGAGACACGAUACAGGCUCCUACGGGAAGCAGCAGUAGGGAAUAUUGCUCAAUGGGGAAAACCCUGAAGCAGCAACGCCGCGUGGAAGAUGACACUUGUCGGAGCGUAAACUCCUUUUGUAAGGGAAGCGGUACCUAACGAAUAAGCACCGGCUAACUCCGUGUCAGCAGCCGCGGUAAUAC